GCCGAUCUGGCUCAGCAGGUAGAGCAAGUGACUUGUAAUCAUCAGGUCACCAGUUCGAUUCCGCCAGUCGGCACCA
rnacentral:tRNA from 1 species